CCUACGGGGGACAGCAGUGAGGAAUAUUGGUCAAUGGCCGGAAGGCUGAACCAGCCAUGCCGCGUGAAGGUCAGUGCCCUAUGGGCGUUAAAAUUCUUUUGUGCGGGGGCAAUAAUGGUCACGUGUGGCCAGACGAGAGUAACGUACGAAUAAGCAUCGGCUAACUCCGUGCCAGCAGCCGCGGUAAUACGGAGGAUCCGAGCGUUAUCCGGAUUUAUUGGGUUUAAAGGGAGCGUAGAUGGGUUGAUAAGUCAGUUGUGAAAGUUUGCGGCUCAACCGUAGAAUUGCAAUUGAUACUGGCAGUCUUGAGUACAGUUGAGGUAGGCGGAAUGCGUGGUGUAGCGGUGAAAUGCUUAGAUAUCACGAAGAACUCCGAUUGCGAAGGCAGCUUACUAAGCUGCCACUGACAUUGAUGCUCGAAAGUGUGGGGAUCAAACAGGAUUAGAUACCCGAGUAGUC
rnacentral:rRNA from 1 species